rnacentral:rRNA from 1 species
CAACGGAGCUGCCGGUCAUAAACCGGAGGAAGGCGGGGAUGACGUCAAGUCCUCAUGGCCCUUACAUCCCGGGCUACACACGUGCUACAAUGGCAGGUACAGAGGGCUGCGAAGCCGCGAGGUGGAGCGAAUCCCAGAAAACCUGUCUCAGUCCGGAUUGAAGUCUGCAACUCGACUUCAUGAAGGCGGAAUCGCUAGUAACCGCGAAUCAGCAGGUCGCGGUGAAUACGUUCCCGGGCCUU